GGAUGUGAGGGCGAUCUGGCUGUGACAUCUGUCAACCCACUGAUCGCCAGGGUUGAUUCGGCUGAUCUGGCUGGCUAGGCAGGUGUCUCCUUCCUCCCUCACCACUCCAUGUGCGUCCCUCCCGAAGCUGUGCGCUACGUCAAAGAGGACGGCCUUCCCCGAAUAGAGACAAACGAGUCUUCGGUCAAGGGUAUACAAGUAGUUGCUCUCCCCUGCUAGAAACUCCAAACAAGCUCAUUUUAACUCAGACACAUGUGCGAAUUAGUUGCUUAGUCUAGUCCACAGGAGGCAAUCUUGUCUUAGAUAAAAUAAUUAUGUGCAGGGUUGUGACACUACUUGAGAAC
ensembl:misc_RNA 7SK 7SK RNA